rnacentral:tmRNA from 1 species
GGGGAUGAUCGGUUUCGACGAUGUUAGUCGCGACAGGUGAAGCGGGCCGAGGAUGCAGAAUUAUCUCGUAAACGCUGUCUGCAAACCAAUAAGUGCCAAUUCUAAGCGCACUGACUUCGCUCUUGCUGCCUAAGCAGUAAGACAGUCCGUCAGCCCGAGGUUGCUAUUGCCCCGGAUCCUGGCGUCAUUUAGAUAGCCACUGCUGUUUGCCUUCGUCAUCGAGGCAAGCGGGACUCUUAGAUGACUGGGCCCGGAUCAGCUACUUGUUCGCAGGAUAGCUGGGCCGAGAAAGUCCGACGCGAACUGCGCCCGGAGAAGCCCUGACAACACGACAUCGGACGGGGGUUCAAUUCCCCCAUCUCCACUU